GGGUUUGAAUAGUGCCCAGGAUAGAUCACUAGAUUACUCAAACAUGCAGAAAUGUUCAUCUUUAUGUUAAUAUUGCAUUCAGACUAAACAGUUUAUUACCUUUGGUCGUGGUGGUGGUGGGAGUCGUGGUGGUGGUGGUGGUGGGAGUGGUGGUUUUGGUGGGAGGUGUGGUGGUGGUGGGAGUCGUGGUGGUGGUGGUGGUGGUGGUUUUGGUGGGAGGUGUGGUGGUGGUGGGAGUGGUGGUGGUGGUGGUGGGAGUCGUGGUAGUGGUGGUGGGAGUCGUGGUGGUGGUGGGAGUGGUGGAGGGAGUGGUGGUUUUGGUGGGAGGUGUGGUGGUGGUGGUGGGAGUGAUGGUAGUGGUGGUGGGAGUCGUGGUGGUGGUGGGAGUGGUGGUUUUGGUGGGAGGUGUGGUGGUGGUGGGAGUGGUGGUGGUGGUGGUGGGAGUCGUGGUGGUGGAGGUGGUGGUGGGAGUCGUGGUGGUGGAGGUGGUGGUGGGAGUCGUGGUGGAGGUGGUGGUGGGAGUCGUGGUGGUGGAGGUGGUGGUGGUACCU
ensembl:lncRNA